AUAGGGGUUCUGAGAGGAUACACCCCCCCACUGGAACUGAGACACGGUCCAGACUCCUACGGGAGGCAGCAGUAAGGAAUAUUGGGCAAUGGAGGCAACUCUGACCCAGCCAUGCUGCGUGCAGGAAGACGGCCCUACGGGUUGUAAACUGCUUUUAAUAGGGAGUAAAAUCAGCUACGUGUAGUUGAUUGCAAGUACCUAUAGAAUAAGCAUCGGCUAACUCCGUGCCAGCAGCCGCGGUAAUACGGAGGAUGCAAGCGUUAUCCGGAUUUAUUGGGUUUAAAGGGUGCGCAGGCGGACUAAUAAGUCAGUGGUGAAAUUUACAUGCUUAACAUGUAUCGUGCCAUUGAUACUGUUAGACUAGUAUACAAAUGACGUAGCUGGAAUGUGUUAUGUAGCGGUGAAAUGCAUAGAUAUAACACAGAACACCGAUCGUGAAGACAGGUUACGAAUUUGUUAUAGACGCUCAGGCACGAAAGCGUGGGGAUCAAACAGGAUUAGAUACCCUGGUAGUCCACGCUGUAAACGAUGAUAACUUGUUGUUGGGCACGUAGUGCUCAGUGGCUAAGCGAAAGCGAUAAGUUAUCCACCUGGGGAGUACGAUCGCAAGGUUGAAACUCAAAGGAAUUGACGGGGGCCCGCACAAGCGGAGGAGCAUGUGGUUUAAUUCGAUGAUACGCGAGGAACCUUACCCGGGCUCGAACGUAUGUUGAAUAAUGUGGAAACAUGUUAGUCGUAAGACAACAUACGAGGUGCUGCAUGGUUGUCGUCAGCUCGUGCCGUGAGGUGUCAGGUUAAGUCCUAUAACGAGCGCAACCCCUACUUUCAGUUGCCAGCACGUAAUGGUGGGGACUCUGGAGGAACUGCCUACGCAAGU
rnacentral:rRNA from 1 species